AUAAAUGGAUCAGUUUCUUUACAUGGAAUGUCAGGUGGAAGAGAGGGUCAGAAACUCAUAGAGCUGCUAUAAUCAGGAGUAAUUGGAUACACAAAUUUCUACUGAAGUGACGCACAGUUAAAUACUUUACCUACUCUUCCUUUUGUUUAAUUAGAGUCACAUAGCAAAGCAGCUCGACUUUCUGAAGCACUUCGUUUCUGAUAUAUGAGAGAUCUACAACGGCCCUUUCAUCUUGAGCUAUUCCCGCUGUGGUGAACUCAGGUUGCGAGUGACCAUGAAUCGCUCGCUAUGUGAUACUGUUCAGCUCUGCUUCUAUGGCUGGGCAGCACUCCAAUCUAGAUGCAGCAUUGUUACUAAUUUCAAACAAUAGUUCUGGCCUCUGUUUUUGUUUUUUUAAAAAAAAACAAAGAAACAAAAAAAUCAGGUCCUUGUAAUUCUAGUAACAGAGCAUCAGAGAUGUUAAACAAACACAACAUAACUCAACAAGGCCACAAUGAGCGCCAUUUUCUUCUUAUCUCGUUCAUUAACAUAAUGAAGUCUCCAUCUGAGGGGAAAGGACUGGGAAAGAUUGGGGCACAGGAGGAGCUCAGCAGUUAGCUUUCUCCCCUGGGCUGACCUAAAAAUUCAAGUUAAAAAAAAAUUGUCAGAGAGUCUCUCUUUCGAGAACAGCAUCAGAUGUCGGAGUACACACGAUGACCACUGCUUCUAUCGACUCAGAAUGGUCCACCAGGUGUUAGCAGUCCUGUUGGUUGCCAUCCCCGUGUCAUCUUCUAUAGACUAGUGACCAAGUGCGCGGGUCCUUUGGAAGUCCCCUCCGGAGAGGCCCCAUCUUUGUUAGGAGGAACUAUGAAUCCGUCGCUGCUGCCGCGCCCCAGCUGGUAGUAGGCGUGCAGCGGGUGCACGUGGUUUCUGGAGCCCAGGUUUGGCAUGCUUUUGUAGUAAACAUCUUCGGCGUCACCACCCUUGGCCGCUGCGGCUUCGGUCUGGGUGCUGGUGGUCACACUGUCUGCAGCGGGCACGCCGGCCAGGGCUGGCAUGCUGGUGUACAGAGAGUCCCUGUGCGGUGACUGCAGGUCUUCUGUGUGCUCGUCGGUUAGCAGAGGGAAGAAGCUCUCGCUGUGGUCCUGGGGGAACCGCCUCCUGCUGUAAUGGUGUGGCUGGUGGUUAUCCGUGGAGUAAACCCUCGGGGGCAGCAAGGGAGCAUCGGAUUCCUCGUGAAUGAGUUCCAGGCCCAGACUCUCCUCGUGGUUAAAGGACGCGGCGUCAUCCAGGACGAUGGCGUCAUCUUCACUCCCGCUGCCUAAGUUGUUCACCAGUUUGUUCAUCAUAUUCCGGUUCUGUUCGCUGGAGCGCUCGUGGUUGUUCAGGGCUCUAAACGACAGCAUGAAGAAAAGGAAAGAAAAAACAACAAGUAAGCUUACAGCGACAGCAGGAGAAACAUGAGUCAAAAGCAAAUUGAUGAUAUGCAGCAAAAGGAGUCACGGGAAAUCAUCUCCACCGUCCCCCAAUUCACGAGUUUGUGUUACAUGGUUUACCACAAUUCAAACACCAAAGUGUUAGUCAGAAAACAAGAGCCCUCCCGCUUAACACACACCAAGUAUAAUGGGGCUUUUUAAUAAGUGUUGCUACAGCUCACAGAUUUCUUAUACACACAUAUUACACUUCAAAUUGGCACACAAACCAGAAGGGUGAUCCGUGACUGUUUCUACUGCUGUGGUUCGAUAGGACACGGAUGUGAUGUUAGAAAGUACCAGCUUAUAAGGAAUGACAUCCAUUCUUAGAAAUUAGUAGUGAAAAUAAAAAUACAAUACAGAAAGAAAACU
ensembl:antisense Gm16054 predicted gene 16054